rnacentral:rRNA from 1 species
ACGGGAGGCAGCAGUGGGGAAUAUUGCACAAUGGGGGAAACCCUGAUGCAGCGACGCCGCGUGAAGGAAGAAGUAUCUCGGUAUGUAAACUUCUAUCAGCAGGGAAGAAAAUGACGGUACCUGACUAAGAAGCCCCGGCUAACUACGUGCCAGCAGCCGCGGUAAUACGUAGGGGGCAAGCGUUAUCCGGAUUUACUGGGUGUAAAGGGAGCGUAGACGGUCUAGCAAGUCUGAUGUGAAAGGCAGGGGCUCAACUCCUGGACUGCAUUGGAAACUGUUAGUCUUGAGUGUCGGAGAGGUAAGCGGAAUUCCUAGUGUAGCGGUGAAAUGCGUAGAUAUUAGGAGGAACACCAGUGGCGAAGGCGGCUUACUGGACGAUAACUGACGUUGAGGCUCGAAAGCGUGGGGAGCAAACAGGAUUAGAUACCCUGGUA